rnacentral:pre_miRNA from 1 species
AAUCCGCACUCCGUUAGAAUCUGGAGCCAUCGCAGAUUCGGACUUGUUGUUUGUUUCAAAUUCUGUCAAGCUCGGGUUUAUCGGUGUGCGGCGGGCUGCGCA